GACGAACGCUGGCGGCGUGCCUAAUACAUGCAAGUCGAACGCUGAAGGAGGAGCUUGCUUCUCUGGAUGAGUUGCGAACGGGUGAGUAACGCGUAGGUAACCUGCCUGGUAGCGGGGGAUAACUAUUGGAAACGAUAGCUAAUACCGCAUAAGAGUAGAUGUUGCAUGACAUUUGCUUAAAAGGUGCAAUUGCAUCACUACCAGAUGGACCUGCGUUGUAUUAGCUAGUUGGUGGGGUAACGGCUCACCAAGGCGACGAUACAUAGCCGACCUGAGAGGGUGAGCGGCCACACUGGGACUGAGACACGGCCCAGACUCCUACGGGAGGCAGCAGUAGGGAAUCUUCGGCAAUGGACGGAAGUCUGACCGAGCAACGCCGCGUGAGUGAAGAAGGUUGUCGGAUCGUAAAGCUCUGUUGUAAGAGAAGAACGAGUGUGAGAGUGGAAAGUUCACACUGUGACGGUAUCUUACCAGAAAGGGACGGCUAACUACGUG
rnacentral:rRNA from 1 species